rnacentral:rRNA from 1 species
AUUGAACGCUGGCGGCAUGCCUUACACAUGCAAGUCGAACGCGAAAGGGGGGCAACCCCUGAGUAGAGUGGCGCACGGGUGAGUAAUGCAUCGGAACGUGUCCUGUAGCGGGGGAUAACCUAGCGAAAGCUAGGCUAAUACCGCAUACGUCCUACGGGAGAAAGUGGGGGAUCGUAAGACCUCACACUAUAGGAGCGGCCGAUGCCGGAUUAGCUAGUUGGUGGGGUAAAAGCCUACCAAGGCGAAGAGCCGUAGCUGGUCUGAGAGGAUGAUCAGCCACACUGGGACUGAGACACGGCCCAGACUCCUACGGGAGGCAGCAGUGGGGAAUUUUGGACAAUGGGGGAAACCCUGAUCCAGCCAUGCCGCGUGAGUGAAGAAGGCCUUCGGGUUGUAAAGCUCUUUCGGCCGGGACGAAAUCGCACGCGUGAAUAUCGCGUGUGGAUGACGGUACCGGAAGAAGAAGGACCGGCUAACUACGUGCCAGCCGCCGCCGUAA